GCUCCUAAAGGAUAACAGUCAUCCGUUGGUCUUAGGAACCAAAAACUCUUGGUGCAAGUCCAAGUAGCAGCU
rnacentral:tRNA from 6 species